AGCAGCAGGUGGGAAGGGAGAGGGGAGAGAGUGCUGGUUGUGAAAGAGACAGCAGAUGGCUGGAAGGAUUUAAAAGGGAAGUAACCCAGAUUUAGCUGGAAAAAGAGAAGAAAGCAACCCAGAAGAAACAGGGAGAAACUACAUGAAAGAGAAAAGGGAAUAUAAGAAGGGUCCAGGAGAGAAACUUACCUGGGAUGAAAAUAUAGAAACUGCAUUUGCCACCAAAAAAUGGAAAAAAGUCAGACCAGCUCUACUUCUGAUCUUGAAAGGAAUAGAACAUUAAGUGAAUGGGCAUGUCUGCAUUUUUUUCUUCAGGACUGUUUAAGAAGUCUGAAUUUGAUGCCAUCGUCAGUGACAUACCCAGCACCAAGGUUAUGAAAGAUUAAAGGACAUUCAUUGCUAAGACCACAGUUUAGCAAAAAAAUCAAUCAGAAUUCAGGAGUGGUGCCAUCAGUGUACAUCUCCACACAAGUUGUUGUCCCUCUACCAGAGGGCUCACCUGAGUACCAAUUUGUAUAAGACACCUUUGUGUUAUCAAGAAUGGAUAAAAGCUCAUAUGCCCAGCACAUGGAUGACUUCAACAAGGGAUGAUGAAGACAGGCUGUAGAAGGGCUGGUGGAGCUGAUCAGCAGGGCAGAGCAGUUGCCCCAGAAGCACCCUGAAGACACCUCUGCUGAAUGGGAAGCAGCAAACAGCUGCUCCCAGCCCCGUCAUGGAGAGAGCCAUGGAGUAAGUGCACAUAUCGGUGCAUGGAGAGUCUGGAGAGCUGAAGGGACCCUGUGGCUGCACGAGGCAGCAUGGGUCUCCAUCCCUGCAAGAGGCAGGUGCCCCUUGUUGCCAGAGCGGUGCAUAGGGCCUGGAAAGCUGAAGGGACCCUGCAGCUGCAUAAGGCAUCAUGGAUCCCCAUCUCUGCAAGAGGCAAGAUCCUCUUGUUUCACAGAGCAGUGCAUGGGGGCUUGGAAAGAUGAAAGGACCCCAUGGCUGCACAAGGCAGCAUGGGUCCCCAUCCCUGCGAGAGGCAGGAACCCUCGGUGCACAGAGCGGUACAUGGGGCCUGAGAGGGCUGCCAGGCCAGGUAGCUGCACGAAGCAGCUUGGGCCUUCCUGCAGCAAGCAGCAGCAGGAUGGGGCAACCAUCCGAGCGAGGGGGGAAGCCCCACAGCCAACCCACAGAGAGAGAAAGAGAGAAGCCAAACCGAGCAACACUGCUGGGAGUUACCUGAGAAGAGGAUUGCAGUCCCUAGGAGGGGAGGAGAUGAGGAUUUCCACAGGGGAAAAGGGGCGUUCCCCUUUUGGUGAUUGAAGGGAAACCCCACAAUGAGGAGGGGACAACCCCUUUGUGGCAGAGAGAUUUAAGGGGCUGGCUCCAUGGUAACUGGGCCACGCUAGUCAUGUCAUAUUUCUUUAUGGUAACCUGUUCAUUUCCCCUGGUGUAAUUCCUUCUUUUGGGCACAAUUGCUGUACCAUUGUUGUCUUUGUUCCUUAUAUUGUUGGGACCUUCGCUGUAAAUUUGCAUACUUAAUGUUGUAUUAUGCGAUGAUUAUGUGCUGCCUUAUUUAGCCUUCUAGUGCUCCAGUUGCUUAAGGCCGUGCUAGAGCAUCCCUUACUCAAUAUUUGCUUUCAUUGUAUUUGUUAUCUUUAUGUAUUGAAUUUAUAUGUGUUGAGUCCUAUUGAAACUUACGUAUGUUUAGACCAGUGAUUUAUCCCUGCAGGGUCUUGUCUGCUGACCUACUGCUUAACCUGUGUUUUACUGUUGAUUGCCCCUUGCCUGCCUGUUGCCUGAAGAGCCUGCUGGGGGUAGGGGCUGUACACUAACUGGAAAACCAAACAGGGCCAAGGCCUAUACUGAUAUAGUACCUUCAUCUGCCAUACCCAGCUGAGAUUGCCUGGGCUUACGUUUAACAAGAGUUAUUGUUUAACAAGAUUUUUGUGAAUGUGUAUUUGUAAAUAGUGUAUCUAUCUAUCUAUCUAGAUAUCUAUCUAUCUAGAUAUCUCUAGAUAGAUAGAUAGAUAGAUAGAUGUACAUGUUUUGUAAAUUUAUUGACAGUGCACUGCAAAAUUAAAUCUGUAAAUAGUUAAACGUAAUUGGGUGUCCUUGGUCUCUGCUCUGGUCUGCUCUGUAGGGGAGGGAGGCAAGCUGGCUUGAAGCUAGGCAGUCACAUGCCCACAGCACACUCACACUCACUAACUUCGCUUCAAUUGAAGAGAGGGUACCACUCGCAUACCACCCAGGCUACAUAUAUAUAUCAAAUGUUUAUAGCAGUAGGCCAAUAGAAUAUUCCAAGAACCCAUGAAAGCCUUUCAAACCAGUUUUUAACAGUUUCUUGUGUUUUCAGUAAACCAUUCCAGAAAAUCAGCACAUCUCAAAGGCUGCUUCUGCUAAACCUGACAGAGAGAAUUGACUCACUGGGUAUCAACAGGAUUAUCUAUCUUCUCUUGCUUUUCUGAUAUAUGUCUAUGCCUGGCUCAAAAGGAACUUUGUAACUUUUAGCACCAAUUUAGCACUAGAAAAAAGCAUUACCCAAGACCAGGCAGCCUUUCAGCAUGCAGAGCCAGAAGACUUUUGUGUUUAAUUAGAAAUUUUGGAUGGUGUGUGUUUUAAAGACACUUUUGCCUCAUCCCUCCUACAAACUUGUCAUUUCUUCCCAUCCUUUACUUCCUGAAAUCUGAAUCUUACUGUGUAUAUGCCUCUACUGUCAGCCCAAAUGGCUCUGCAUACCCCCCAUGGCCCCUACCCCUUCCCUCUCAAUCUCUGUUCCUAUUCAGUCCACCUGACUCCCGUCUCCUGUAAUCCACUGAUCUCCAUCCUUGGUUCUAGCUACUCUUGCUCCUUUCUCUGCUCCCUGUGCUUUGAGAGCACAGAUAGUGCCUUGCUUCCUAGUUUUGGGGCUGGAUAUGACACUUAUAGCAGCCAUUACUGGGAAUUGUUCAAGACAAAUAAUUUUGUUUGCUUUUAAUCUGUUCAUGUGUAAUGUGGCAGGACAUAGACCACUGGUUCUCAGCCUUCUUAAGACUCAAGCCAUCUCUUGUUACAUUCAAGGCACUGCUUGAUAACUUUUGUCAAUUUAGCAACACCACUAUUUCUAAAACCAGUUUAAUUAUUUGAGGUCUUAUCUCCUUGCAGAGGAGACAGGCAGUGGUGGUGAGGGAGCAGGGAGGCAGGAAGGGCCUGAA